AGGGCGGGGUUGCCCUUGUCGUCUCACAACCGCUGUGAGCUAUGAGGCUCUCAGUGCAGAGGCCCGGCGCUCAAUAGACACGAGUUAUUAUUAUUAUUGGAAUUAUCUCUGUUACCGCUAUUAUUAACUCCAAGCCAUCGUCAUGAUCUGCUGUGCGCUUGGCAAGCGGACUCCUCCAAUGAGGGGAAACUACAGAAAAAGGCAAAGCCAGUUUCCCUUUCUCCAAGCAGCGUAUCUCGGUUCAGUCCUUUUUGAAACGUCAUCACCACCUUAAUUACCUUAAGAACAUAAUCAUUUUUAUCAAAGACCUCCGUGUGGGGAAGAGAUUUGCUUUUUCUGGAGGAGCCUGGGGAGGCGGGGCCUGGGGGAAGCGGCUGCACCAGCUUCCCUGCAGCCCUGCUGGGGUUUCUGGCCUUGUGUCCAGUGCCCUAAACUGUCCCAGUUCGGGGGCGCACAUCAACCACAGAAGAGUGGAUAAGAAAUCGGACAGCUGGCACCCUGACACGCCAUGGCCGGAAGUGAAACGGUCCUGACGACGCAGGACGCACCCAGGAGAGCAGGAGCCAGCAGUUCCCGCCCUCCUGGCUGCCUCCAGGGCUCUCUGUGCCCCCUUCCUGGAGGUCACCUUUCCCUGCAUCUCUGCGGGCUCCUGGCUCCUCAGAGACGCUUUCUCCGGUCAUCUGAUCCUCGAUGCGUACCAGGGACUCAAAGAAACCAGGAUGUCUGCCAAAACUUAAAGGACACCAGGAGGGUCCCCAAAGCGACAGACUUCUCUGCAUCUGGAGGAAAUGGCUAUAUUUGAAAAUAACACCGACUUUUUCAAAGGGUAACCGUAUAGCAAGAGCAAACUCUGUGUGAGCCUCCCUCUUCAGAUGGCUGGUCUUUCACAAUGAGAAGAGCUUGGGUGCCACAAAAUGAAGGAGGAACCAAGGCUGCCUGCAAACCUCAGGCAGCACAAAAGCCUGAUUGCUGCCACCCAGUCGAUUUAGAUUUACUGCAUUUUAAAAUUCAAAUCCAGAAGUUCCCUUGUGGUGCAGCAGGCUAAACAUCCCAGGACACUGCAGGGGCACGGGUUCAAUCCCUAGCCCAAGAACUUCCACAUGCCAUGGGUGUGGCCAGAAAAAAAAAAAAAAAAGAUUCAAGUCCACAAAGAUGUCCGUCAUUGCUGAUUAUUAGGGAAGUGCCAAUCAAAACUACCAUGAGGCACCAUAUAACUGUUCAUCAUUCGUAAUCACCCUUUUGGUUUUUGUUUAGCUGGUUUCUUUUUUCAUUAUUUGAGAAUAAUUUCAAUAGUGGCUUCAUCAUGACAUUGUAUAUAAACCUGUCUAAUGUGUAUAUUAUGUCAUAUCUCGGUAUUUAUAGCAGAAACAUAUACUUAGUCAUAAAUAUAUACUCAGGAAAUUCCAGAGAAUAUAAAAAUUUUCAAACAUUUGUAAACAUGUGCUCUCAUUAAAAGUUUUCUCGGAGUUCCCAUCAUGGCUCAGUGGUUAACGAACCCAACUAGCAUCCAUGAGGACGCAGGUUCUAUCCCUGGCCUCCCUCAGUGGGUUAAGGAUGCGGCGCUGCCUUCAGCUAUGGUGUAGGCCAGCAGCUACAGCUCUUAUUGGACCCCUAGCCUGGGAACCUGUGUAUGCUUCGAGCGUGGCCCUAAAAAGACAAAAAGACCAAAAAAAAAAAAGUUUUCUCUGGUAUUUUAGGUGAAUAAUAUUUAUGCCACCAGAAAGCAAACGAACAAACAGAAAGACUUUAAAAAUUUACAACUAAUUCUAAUACAAAGAGGAGUCUGUUUUUGCUUGGUAAAUAUUUAUAUGCUCUAGAAGUAUUGCUUUGAGCUUUCAAAGUCUAAGGAAAGAGUAUUUUCGAAGAGAAGGCAAAUGUAGAACUAGGUAAAAAGAAUGACUUGGGAAAUUAUGUGGCUUCUGCAAGUUUUCCUGCACAUUUUUUCCUAUUAACUAGAUUUCUCCAUAAAGGCUUUUUUUUUUUUUCCCGCUCUUUAUAGAAGAAAUACUUGUCUUGACACGCACGAUAUAUGACAGAUAUUUUCAGAUAUCAAUAAAUGAGCUCUAAGUAGCCAAAUGUUCUUGGGCUUGUCUCAGACACAAUGCUGCCAUGAUGCUUUGUGCGUGAGGGCAGGUGCUCUCCUUGAAACUCUCAGGGUCCAUGAGUAAAAACAGCGCUUUCUGAGCAUUUACUGUUACUGCGCUCAACGCCAACACCCACGGGGACAGGCUCGCCUGCCCCAGAGAGAGAGGGGGUUAACACCUUCCUUUUUCUGGGGAGGAGAUGGAGACAGAGGUUAAAUAAUUUGCUGAAGGACAUGACAAAUAAUGGUGUAAGGAUUCAAAACCUGGAACUAAAAAAAGACAAAAGACAAAAGACAAAAACAAACAAACAAACAAACAAAACAAACAAACAAACAAAAACCUGGAACUGCAGACACUGCCAUUAUACGAUAGGUCCUCUCUUCAAAUGAAAUGCUCAUUAAUUAUUUCAAACAUACACAGAGCUCUUCUUUAAAACCAGUGAAAGCAAAGACGAAUAAUUAGGAGUUCCCUGGUGGCUCACCAGGUUAAGGAUCUGGCAUCGUUACUGCUGUGGCUCUGGUUACUGUUGUGGUGUGGGUUUGAUCCCUGGCCAGGAACUUCUGAAUGAUGCAGGUACAGCAGGAAAAAGAGAGCGAGAGAGAGAGGAACAAUUAAAUUAUGUAUUUAUUGCCUUGACGUUGACAAGACACCUUUCGCUAGACAGGGCUAGCUGUAUCCCUUGGAUGUGAGUAGAUAUAAGAAUUGCUGACAGUGCAACUCAAAGUCCCAGGAAAAGGGCUUUAUCAGAGUGAAAGUAUUCCUAAAUCAGUUGGCUACCACAUGCAGGUCGUCAUGUGGUCAUUUAUCAUCUAGCUCAGUUGCCCUAAGCCACGUAUUCAUUUUAAUCUGUGAAUAACUUAGUGAUUGCUCACAGCUACUUUCCAGCAGGCCAACAGCUGCAGGUAAGUGAUUCCAAGCAGAGCUCCUCCGAAAGCGACACAAGGCCAGUGGAGGAGAUGCUUCCCUUCCGUCUUAGGGUGGGAGAUACAAAGCAAGGCUCUCUGAUCAAGGCUCUCCGACAUCCUGACUUGGCCUUGGUGAAGCCCGGCGCCACGCCUUACCCCCGUAGUAAAUACCCACUGCUCAGCCACUUCUCACCACUUCCGAAAUCAAAGCCCUGGCUCUGAGUCUGAACCUUGGUCCACACGCCAUCACGCCUCGCCUGGACUUCAGCAAGAGCCUCUACAUGCGUGGGUUAUUUCUACCAGUAUUUUCGGUACUCAAAAAUCAAAGCAUAACUUUAUAAAGUGAAUUCAUUAAAAUAACAAUAAUAAAAAAUUGCACAUGAAAAUAAAAAACAUUUGUAUUUAAAAAACUAUUUUUUAACAAAAAAUGAGUGGGAAGAGUAGCAUUUCGCAAUUUUGCCAAAGCCUCUUUAAUGUCUUGACAGGAGACAGCUGGGUGCCUUGUUGGCUCUGCACUCAUCUGUUGGGAUAUCAAGCAGACUUUGAAAAACACCAUCAUACACCCCUGAGAAAGUGAGAGAGAAAAGGCAAACAGCAUCUCAGUGCCGCCCUGAAAGGGAUCCUCGCCUUUCAGACCCUCUGAAGGGGACUCAGAGGUCCCCCCACCCC
rnacentral:lncRNA from 1 species